rnacentral:lncRNA from 1 species
GUCAAUUUCCAUAUGAAAGCAGCUGAGAUCUCUUUCCCCAUUUUGGAAUUCCAGGCAACACCCUGGGCUCCGAUUUCUCAGACUCGAGGUUUUUGCCCAACUUUCCCCCACCCCCACCUCCCGACCCACCCCUAAUCUGCUCCUAUUCCCCUUUCUCUGGCUACCGGAUUUCCAGUUCUUCCAGCGCACUACUCUAGCCCAAGAAAGCAUCUGUGAACUCAGCUCCAGAACAACUGGCUUCAUGUUUCUCUGAGCUGAUGGUGUCCCAGAGAAACAGCCUGGACAUCACUGGACAUGCAGGCCCUAAGCAAAAACAUAUGUGCACGUCUCUGCCUUGGAAUCCAAUGGCCUUUAAGGAAAUGGAUCUAUCUCUGUGGAAGAGGAAAGGGGGAAGAACUGCAAGGGCCCCACAGUUUGCAGGGAAGGUGC